UUCCGGUUGAUCCUGCCGGAGGCCACCGCUAUUGGAAUCCGAUUAAGACAUGUGAGUCGAGAGUCUUCGGGACUCGGCAGACGGCUCAGUAACACGCGGAUAAUCUGCCCUUGGGUGGGGAAUAAUCUCGGGAAACUGAGCAUAAUACCCCAUAGGCCUGAGAUGCUGGAACGCCCUCAGGCUAAAAGCUACGGCGCCCAAGGAUGAGUCUGCGGCCUAUCAGCUUGUAGUUGGUGUAAAUGACCAACUAGGCGACGACGGGUACGGGCAUUGGGAGAUGUAGCCCGGAGAUGGACUCUGAGACACGAGUCCAGGCCCUACGGGGCGCAGCAGUCGCGAAAACUUCACAAUGUGGGAAACCGCGAUGAGGGGAUUCCAAGUGCUUGCGUUUUGCGUAAGCUGUUCUCCUGCCUAAAAAGCAGGGGGGGUAAGGGCUGGGUAAGACGGGUGCCAGCCGCCGCGGUAAUACCCGCAGCCCAAGUGGUGGUCGAUAUUAUUGAGCUUAAAGCGUCCGUAGCCUGUCUGGUAAAUUCUUGGGUAAAUCGUGCAGCUUAACUGUCCGAAUUCCGGGGAGACUGCCAGACUUGGGACCGGGAGAGGUUGGAGGUACUCCUGGGGUAGGGGUAAAAUCCCGUAAUCCUGGGAGGACCAUCAGUGGCGAAAGCGUCCAACUGGAACGGAUCCGACGGUCAGGGACGAAGCCCUGGGUCGCGAACUGGAUUAGAUACCCAGGUAGUCCAGGGUGUAAACGCUGCAGACUUGGUGUCGGAGGUCCUACGAGGGCGUCCGGUGCCGGAGAGAAAUUGUUAAGUCUGCCGCUUGGGGAGUACGUCCGCAAGGAUGAAACUUAAAGGAAUUGGCGGGAGAGCACGCACGGGAGGAGCGUGCGGUCAAUUGGAAUCACGCGA
rnacentral:rRNA from 1 species